rnacentral:lncRNA from 1 species
AUCAGAUCCCAAAGAUAGUAAGUCUUUUCUUUCUUAUGAAGGAAAGUCUUUUUCAAAAAUUCUAUAUAAAUUUAGAUAUGAAACCGAGAUAGUUACCUUUAAGAAAAUUCUAACGAUAGAUAGAAAUGCCUAUGCUUUAUUCUUUUGAAGGUGGGAGAAAAGAGAAAACCAAAAAGGGAUUCUUAAUCAAAAUUUAAGAUUUUAGUUUAAAACUCAUGUCAUUAACCUCUUUUGGUUAACCCCCCAAAACCAGAUAGAUCUAUGAGAAAUCUCAUUUAGUUAGAUAUGGUAGAUUCAAAUGGGAGAUACCAAAAGAAUUGACUGCUGAGCUGUAUGAGGUAGGAAACUGUCAAGUACGGUUCUAAGGGAAGGAAUUGAAUCGAUUGACUGAGGAAGAAAAGGUCGUUCUACCGUCCCGCAAGAAAUAUCAUCAGAGAAGUUCAGUCUCAAAGAAAGUAUUAGUUGUUUGCUCACCCGUAAAGUAGGAAUCUCAAGAAUAGGAGUCAGUUUUCAAGGAAAGGAGAAGUUCUGUAGUCCAUCCAGUCCGUCCGGAUCAAUAGAGUGGGGGAGAUAAAGAGAUAUGGUAGGCAUUGAAUGGAUUAGAAAAGCUUGCACGGGCUAUCUCAUUAGUCAGGGUGUUCCUCGAUCAAUGGUUCUCUAUCUUUGAUUUGCUUGAUGAGCGGUAUUGGUCUCCUCGGCUUGACGUAAGGAGUUGAUGGUUCCCCCUUCUGUGGUUUAGGGGUUCACGUGAGCUUAUAAACCAAUUGAAUGGCUAAAGUGGCUAUAGUAAAACGCUUUUUUUAUGGUCUUUGACGGGUAUGAUACUCUUAUUACUCUUAUAGUACUUCUGAUAGCGAUAAUAGCCUCUUUUUUGGCUUUAUAGCUCCUCGUACUCUAACUGUAAUGUUAAGGGAGUGAGGGGACCAUUUGAUUAUGGCACUCGAUGGAGUGUAGUUGUCUAUUCCUCUGCUUUCUGCUAUCCUUAGUUAAGAAAAGUAUCUACUGUCAUAAUAGAUUGCACGAGAAGUGAGUUAACUGCCAUUAUCAGAAGUAGGUAGUUGAUAGUUGAGCCUUUCCUCCCUUAAGAAUCCUCCCUGUCAGUCUUCUACUUACCAGUCGAGCUGUUUUCUCCUCUCUCCCCCUUUUUUUAUUUACUUUUUAGAAUUAAAAGAGGUCUUCUAAGGUUGCAGGGAAGGAGUCAAUAGACUGUUACCCGGCAAGAUCCUAUGAAUCAAGUCAGGGGGUAGAUUAAGCCAUUCGAACUUUCGGCACAUCAAGGCUUCGAAAGGAGGGGUUUGAAUCCGAGAGUGCUAAUUCGGCAACUGCAUGCAGCGAAUCCAUUCUUACUGCUAAGCUAAUACCAUAAAGGAAGGUGCGGGGAAUGGUUCUGGUCUCUUGCCCAAGAAAGGGCUAUGCGCAAUAGGGAGAGCUCUUUCCGGCAAAUGUGCUGCGGAUUCAAUAGCUGGGGAUACAAAAAAAGCUGGGAUAACGUCGAAUACUUAAGAUCUUGCCAUCUGUCAGUUGGAUUCUCGACCAGCCUUUUCUUGUACAAGCCAUUCUAAGAGCGCCAUUCAAGCCUUAGCCUUUUCAAAAGAAGGGGAUUCUACAAAAAGGGACAACAUUCAAAGAAAUAAUAUUGACUAUUGGAAAUCCAAUGCUUGUCCGAUUCUUGGCAUCAGAUCUAUUUUCUUAGAGAAAGACAGUGACUUGCACAAUAAACCUGGACUUGCUUGCUCUCAUUCCUUAGGUUGAAGCAGCUUGGCUUGGCUAGAAUAGCUAAUAGGCUAGCUUCCUUGCUAGCAUGCCUUGUGGCGAACUAGACGUAAAAUAGAUUCAAUUCUAUAAAUUUGAAGUAUAAAAAGCUUCUGUCUUCUUGUGUGAGAAAAGAAAGACCAAAGGGCGUAAAGCCAAGUCUCGGCUAAGACCUCGGGAUGGGAUAUUCUGAGGUUUAGUGAGGGGAUAUUCUUUUGCCAGGAGAUAUUUAUAAGUAGUUGUUCUUUUAAGCUUUCCUUUGUGUUGUGACUUCUUUCUUCUCUACAAAUGGUAGAGCCACAGGUCAGUGGAGCAGGUGUAUCGUUUUCAUAGCAGGUUCAUUGCAGGCAUAGCAGUUUAUGGCUUUUCUAGCUGCUUUCUAUAUAAUAUAGUAUAGGAGGAGAACGCUUUCUAGCUAUAGAGCAGUUAUAUGACUUUCAUAGCGUUUAGUAGUUGUAGGGAUAGGUAGCUACAAGUAGUGCUUGAAUGGAAAGACUCUUUUGAGUUGUUUUCUAAAAAGAAGAAGUGCUUGAAACAUAGCUAACCCUUAUGAAGGCAAGAGUGCUUGAAGAGAAAGCUACCCAAAGGAGAAGCAGUAUACGCAAGGUCUAAGCCUUACAUAGUUGUCUUUGAGGAUGACCAUGACUGACUCAGAACUGGACCCGGGAUCUCCCUUUGGGAUGUUCACAUUCUUCCAGUCAAUAACAGGGAGGAUGGGCUGAUCAUCUAAUGGAUCCGCCCCAUAGGAAUCCUUUGCGGCACCUUCAGAUAGGCAGAAACUGUAUGCAAAUCGCAACUGGAUCUCUUCUAGAAAAGAUUUCUGGCCUUCCUUGCCGCAUCCUCGAGAGGUUCUUCCUCAUCGGUUUCUCCGUCUUUGACCUGAUUGACCUUGGGUAUCAGGAGGCUUGACACAUUGGCGGGGACCUUCUUCACUAGCUCCCUAAAACCCAUUUUGGUGAGGAUUGGCAGGANNNNNNNNNNNNNNNNNNNNNNNNNNNNNNNNNNNNNNNNNNNNNNNNNNNNNNNNNNNNNNNNNNNNNNNNNNNNNNNNNNNNNNNNNNNNNNNNNNNNCACCUCAUCUGCACCUCAAAAGAGGGCAUUCUAGAGCAGCUAAAAAUAGGAAAAGCACUAGAAUGUUUCAAAAGGCUAUGGCCCCGAACAUGCCGUUUACCUAAAUGAGAUUUAAAAGGUGGGGCUCCCGAUUUCCUAAUCUGUCUCGAUCUCUAUCCCAUACAUUACGUUGGUAAACAACCACGGUUGUGGCCUAGCUUCUUCUCUAUAUAUUUCUAGUUGAAGAUCUUCAGGAGUUCUUUGGUGUACACCGCUUUGCCAAGGCCGUAAACUGUGUAAUUACUGCUCUAAUUCACCUUUACUAGUCAAUGGUAUUGACGGCUCAAUAGCUUCUGAGCUUGGCUAUCUUUCAUCCGCCCCAAUCUCUCCUGCAACUUUUCUGCUAUUUCUUUGGAAGAAGGUAAUAUCACCUGUUGUGGUGACCACCACGAUGAUGCUUCAUCGAAGACAAGGUUCCGUGAUGCAUAGCAGCGGUUGGUUGUGGGAUCACAACAUUUCUAGUUGACACUCCGGAACACACUAGACUCUUAUGUCCUGCAUUUUCUCGACCGAGGAGUCACUUUCUUUUUCAAGAAACAACUUUUCUCCAAAGCAUGGUCUCACCCAAAUUCUUUUAGAAUGGCUGUGUUGUCUUGGUUCACUGAGAAUUUCAAAAUUAGCCCAAAAAGGUGUACUACCUUCUGCUUUAUGUGUUGGGAAGUACGGAAAGAGCGGAAUCGCCACAUCUUUGAGAAAAAGCAUUUGCCCUGCCCUAUUUUCCAAAUUCACCUGAAAGCGACAAUCGCAGAAUUCGCCCAGGUAUAACUGAAAUGAUACCCUGGCUUCCACCAAGAAGGAGGUUAAGUUCUUUGCUCGUUGGUUACCCCUUUUUUACUUACCCCACUCGCUGCCUUUGGGUUCACUCACAGCUUCUAGCUCCCUUCCUGAAACAACUCCUUACCUGAGCCCAUAGGUGUAGGAAUCUGUCGCAACUGUAGUUGCUCUUUUGUCUUUAUCUAUCGAGCGUAUCGGUCCAUUCCGUAUUCCCGUUCUCUUAUAAAGAAUGGGUCUCUUCCCCUGGCCUCGUUGUCUCUAUAUCGAUCUCUCUUUGGUAUAGGCAAGGGAUCAUCUGUGAAUGAAUCCCUUUACUUUAUUCCUUUCCCAGAAGGUAAGGAACAAACCUUGAACAAGACUAAGAAAAUUGUCAUUUCCUUACAAAAAGAAGAAGCAACUACCUGCAGGUAGAAUAAAAUUGAAGACUGAUGGGUGUGCAAAAAGAAGCCCUGGCCCUCCUGGGAUUGGAGGGAUUGCAAGAGAUGACCAAGGCAGAUGGUUAUUUUCUUUUUAUGGGAACAUGGCAAAAGCAUCAAGUUUAGCUGCUAAACUUUGGGCAAUAGAAAGAUGAUUAAUGCUGUUGAAGGUUAUGAAAUAAAAGAUGGCAUCCUUGAAACUGAUUUUGCAGAAGCUCUAAGUCUGAUUACAAAUGCUGAGAUUGAGGAUCACCCGUGAAGAGUUAUGCUUUAUGCGGGUACCAGAUUAAACAACUCAUAGUGACCCCUGUUCACAGCCUUUGCCAAGGCUACUUUUGUGCAGACUUCCUAGCCAACAAUGAUAGACCUAUCAUAUAUUUGAUACUAACUACUGAAGGAAGUGGAUCGAUCGAAAGAGGAUGGUUCGAUCGACUUCUUUCUCUUGAGUACUAUUGAGGAUCUUGAUCGGCUAGGUAGGGGAGAUCUCCUAUCCCAGUUCGGGCCAAGACGAGGAUACAGAAGUGGAUGGAGGAAUUGCCCUAAUACUUAAGUCAAGAUAAAAGGGAGAUAUGGUCUGGAAUAGGUAUGGGUAGGACUUGGAUGCUAUGAAGGAGUCGACCAAUACUUAGCUUAGGUAUUUGGCUCAGGAAAGAAGGGGAAGAGCGGAUAAGACAGAAUAUAGGUUAUUCGGCUCUGCGAUUCUCCCAUAUAGAAAGAGUUUGGGAAUACAGGGAUGAGGUGCUGGCACUUUGUCUAUGGGCAUUGUAGAAAGGAAAGGUUUAUCCGCUCAUAAUGAUUGUAGAGUCUUUCCAGGUUAGAGGUCUAAUAGUAGUCACAUCAAGUCCUCCCCUUCUUACUCAGGAUAGCUAGCGAGAGGAAUACUACUGAUUAUCUAUGAAAGAAGGCUUUGAAGAAUGAAAAAAAUCUUAUCUAAGGAUAGAGAGCCCCCGCCCGCCUUUUCAGAUACGAGCGAGUGAGCACUUUUUCUGCUAUGAAUGAAUGACCUCUCCAUUUAUUUUCAAGCUUGCUCUUCAAACCGGCCUAUCACUCUCCUCUAUGAAAAGGUUCUUCCGUAAUCACUCUCAGUAAGACAUCUAUUCCCCUUUCAAAUGAAAAGAGAACUAGACCUUUCUCUUCAUCAUUGAAAUCCGCCAUUCAAUCGCAGUGCGGUGCUCUCAAAAAGCUCAGUCCUCUAACGCUGAAAUGAAUAGAUCAGGAAUUCGACCUGGGAUCCGCCCGUUCCGAUCCUUGCUUACUAAACAGUUGCACCCCUGGAUAUGUAUGUUGGGAGAACCCCAGGAUCCUUCCGUGUGGAAGAGAAAGAAGAAAGAAAGCGAACACGAAUACUAAAAAGCGGUUCAUGAGGACCUCAAAAAAAGGGGAUAGAGAGCGCAGAACGAGAUUUCCAAGCAUAAAACAAUCCCUACCUAUACAUUCCAUGGCAACAGACAGAAGGCAAUUUUGUCGUUGUUGUUAACCCCAGGCCCAUUCCCAUUCCCAAUAAUCUCUAUGAAAAGACUACCCUGAUUUCCGAACGAACCGAGGGAGAGUCCAGGCAUGAAAAUUUUUUUAUAUGCUCCGGGUAUUUCCAAGUACGUAUCAUCCGCUGCGUUAUCCACUGCUUUAUCUGCCGUCUCCGCGGCCGCCAAAAGCCUGCCCUCUCUCGGAUAUUGAGUGGGUUGACCCGGGGAUCCGGACGAACCUUCCAACAAGCAGAAUAGAAGUUGACCACAAAGCCAUCUCUGUGGGAGGCUGCUACCCAUAAGGACAUCUCGGGCAUGGGAAGGAAAAGCGGCGGAUAACUGACUGAACUGGGGAGCCUAAACGGCAUUGAGGAUGAGUCCAACAGUCGACAAACGGCUUCUAUCUACAGGUGCUUUCAUUAUGGAUCGGUCGACUUGUCACGAUUGAUUGCUCACACACAAUUAGGUUAGGCAGGCUUGGGGAGGUGAUUUGAAUCGCUAUCGAUACGAUGCGGGGCCGGUUUGCUGACCGUAACAAACUUUACUCUGCCCCUGAAAAAAAAAGAGCGGGGAGACCUUUGACCUAGGCUGGGGAGGGAUUGGGGUCGCUUUGCUUUAGGACUUUAGUUCGUAACAAGGCUCGAAGACCUCCGGCUGGAUUUGAAAUGGAUCAGGUAGGGCAUCCGUUUACGGCGUGGGUGGGAUUAGCAGUUUUCUCUAUUAUUUCCUUCAAUGGUAGGAAAUCUGCAUCCGCAGGGUAUAUGGGAGAAAGCCAGUCUGCAGUAACUCCAAUUGCUCCUUCGGAUCGAAAAUCUUGACUCACACAUACCGCAGUGUAUUCUUGUCAACUCAUAUAGUCGCACCUACCAGCAACAAUACGACUACUCCCUGCACGCCGGUGCUAUUUAACGCCUUGGUUCGCCCAAUACAAGAACUACAGCCCAACCUAGAUUAAGGCUAAAGCCGCGGAUUACGCCCCCUCCCCCCCAUACCUUCAUAUCCAAGCUGGGAAUGAUUUACCUUCGGAUUCAAAUAAUAGCGCAUAAUGGCAGUACUCAUUCCCAUUUCUUCUUUUAUGAUUUUAUCUACUUGAAAUGCUUACAGGUAAGUGCGGAGAAGGUACCCAGGGGGCCAAACAAAACGGCACUGAAAGGUCUUCAAUUAAAGCUUCGUCCUGGCUAAAGAGAGUAAAGAAAAGCUAAAGGUAAGGAUUUUGAGAAUAUGCAACUCCCCUUUAGUUGUUGUCUUAAAUGAGUUCCUCUAUUCAUUUUACUUAUUAUGAGUUAGGAAUUUCUUUUUAUUAAAAACAUUUAGGAAGAUUGGGGAACUGUCUUAAGCAUGUUCAAGCAAGUGUAACGAGGAGACUCUCCCAAGUAAGACCCGAGUGAAACACCUUCCAGAGCGAACUGUUUGCUUUUGUUUAAUCUUUCACUAUUCUGAAUUUAUGCUUCGCCCUCAAGACAGAAGGUCGAUAUAAUAGCUUUUUUAGAAUACUUAACUCUUAGUCUUUUUUCUUCUUGCUCGUUUCCUUUAAAGCUUUGCCAGUACUGAAAGACGAGUAAAGAUUGCUAAAGCAGACUUAAGGAAAAUACCCCACCUUAUCAGAUUUGUGACAAAAGGAAAGGCUCGAAAGACCUACUUGACGAGUUUUCUUAUGAGUGAGUUCGUAGGUGCCUUUCCUUUAAUUUAAGUCGAGUGUAGCGAAGGGAUUCUCCUAAGAGAAGCUUUAGAUGGAAUAGGGGUGAAACUACUUUUAUGAGCUGUCUCAGUAGUGACCGACUUUAUUAGUUGUGUGAUUAGUGGCUUAGCUGUUAGCUGUCUAAAAGCUACGGUCAAAAUAAAUCCCUUUUGAAAAUAAACCACUAAUACGCCUUUGGUACUCUUUUAGGUCCAUGUAAGGCGGAGGGAAUGGAAUGAAGGGACCUGCUGGAGGCUGAAAAGCCGUAGUGCGCUAGCACUAGCGAGUUAGCGCAACAACUUAGUGCCUUGUUUUCUUCGCUGCUUUUAUUAACAUAAGGUUAAACGAAAGCGGUUGCUAAUGCUUGUAGCUUGCUUCUGUCCUUCGUCAAUUUUGGACUGAAGCUGUUCUGACUACCGUAUCUUUUUUGAACCGAAUACCUUCCUCUGUCAUCUCUGGUCUGUCUCUUUUUGAGAGAAUCUUUUAUACCCCGCCUGACUAUGAAGAGCCCCGAGUCUAUCGGGGGAGGAUGUGGUGGUAACCCCCGCAGCUUCGUCUAGAGCCGGGCAUCCAGCCGUGCAGGAAGACUAACCCUAGCCACUAUAGCGACCCCACCCCCAACUCUAGUUGAGAAGUUGAGUCACCCUUCUUUUUUUUCUUAUAUAAAGCUCUUUCUUUUUACCUCACUCACUAUGAGGAAUUUUACCCCAUCUUCCUAACCUCAAUCUUGUUCCUCCAAAGCUUUAUCCUAUCAAAGUGCUCUACAAAAGAAUCUGAUCAUUGAACUCUUCCUGUAUAGUCCCUGUAUAAGCUUGAAUUUUAGACUUUAUAGGACUUAAACCUCUAGUAGGUAUGCAGUUGAAGGAAAAGCGCAGCAGCAGAAGCGUCAAGGGGAGACAAAGUCUCAAAUACCAGAGCAAGUGAAUAGCAGGAAAAGGGAAGAGAAGCGGAGCGCGAGCACUCGUUACUAAGUAAAUGAAUCACAGUAGAUAUUUUUUAUGGGCCAUGCAUGAUGAGGAAGCUUGGUAUGAGCAAAGGAAGAAAAUAACACUGACAAAGAAGGUAGAUACCCAACUCUAGUUGAUGGAGCAAGGCUGGCGAAACCUUUUCUUAAUUUGUUAUCAAAAAUGUAUGUGAUGGUAAGGGCAACGAAAGAGGAAUGGUACUACCACUUGAGGAAGAGCUGAGGGCACAGCGAGGUGGGAUCGAAUCCAUUUAGUAAAGCCAAUUAUGGCGAAAACCCUACCCAAAUAUGAUUGUAUAGAACUUGUUCCUGUGUAGGUAGAGUCCAAUUAUGAUCGAGUCCUCUAUUCCCGUGUAGGUAGAGUAGUCCAACUAUGAAUGUUAUGGACCAGACAACUGAACUUGUCGAGGGAAGGGGUCAGCUUCCAUUCAUUGCUCUUUCUAUCGGUAUGCUGAAACCACACAUCUGAAAGUAAGGGUCCGUGGGCUGGUCUAUCCUCCCGGGACUUCUUUAUUCGUCAAUAUCUAUACCCCGUGACUUUCUUGCUCGAAACUAAGCCAAUUGACUCGUCCGAGUUCCUGUCAAGAGAGGGAACUAAGAAAUCAAGUAUAGCAGUGUGCGACGCUCUGUCAACACCUUGUACAGACCGGUUCUCCUCUACCUUGUGCCGCCCAACGGAGUCUGUCUGGCAGUUCUCCAAUUGCUUUGUCCUCAAAAUCUACAUGAUGGGUAAGUUCAAAGGUCUUUCCGAACGGGGUUGUUAUUAGCCGUGGGUAGUUUGAUGUACUGGUUUUGGGUGCUGGGUGGUGAUGGAAUCCUUAUUCUGCUCGUCGGGAUUUAAGGCUCCAUCCGAAUCAAGGAGAAGCCACAGUCUAAGAAACCAAGGUAUAAUGUAAUAAUGUACACAGAGUCAACACCUCUACCAAUAAGGAAUCAAGUAAAGUAAUCGGUUGAACGCGGUCUAGGUAGAAGUCUGCCUAUUCCUGCGUUGUGCCGGAAGUCUUUAAUACUUUCUUGAUGCUAGGGAAGGGAGUAGCUAUUGAAUAUAAUCAAGUUCAGCAGUCCAGGCGGGAGGAGUCAAUCUGUAAUUCCCGUAGUUCCAUAGGCAGGAAGCGCAUCAACGAGUUUUUGUAUCUCAGCAGUAGGGACCGAACUUCAAGCAAUAGGGAUCCGUGUUCAAGGCUAGGAUCUAUGUAAUAUGAAUAGUUAGUUGCGCACCCGUCAAGCAGUUCUCACUCCAAGCAGGACUCUUCUAUGGAUUAGUGGGAAGGUGCAGGAUAAGAGAAGAUUCGUCUAUCUAAGUUGCUGACGAGCCAGUACUGUUCGUGGGCAAGCAAAGUUUCAACUCGCAAUCCAUUUCUACAGAACGGAGAAAGGUUAUGCAGGCAGGUGUUCAUUUGCAGUUGCUGGUUGGGGCCGUGGGGAUGGAAAGAAAGAUGAAUAGUUUAGUUGGCCUUGGCCGGAGAUGGAGACGGGUAGGUAGAGAAUACCUAUAGACAACUCACUCUAAGCCCCGUGUGAAUCUCUUUGCUAGUUGAAAGAGACUGCUUUUCUAGUUCCGUCAACAACAGAUCCAGCUUGACUCCGUUCACUCAUUUAGAUGCUUACUAUCUGGUCUGGUCGAGCUCUCUUUGACCCUCAGGUUGAGCCAGCCUGAAAUGCAAGUAGUUUCACUAAGUAGAUGAAAUAGACUCCCCAUACGCAGAGGAAACGAGAUCAACAGAUUCAACUUCCCCUACUGAACCUUCGGCUACUACAAGAUCUUUAUAAACCAAAGAAGCUGAGCCUACUUUAUGCACUUCCGCACUAAGCAGGCAAGGCCAACUACACAAGCAAGAAGGCAUCGCCUGCGGCUUCCAAUCCAAUGACAAGCAAAAGACGAAGAAGGAACUUACUAUACCUUACCUCCUUGUGCCCAUAGCUUGACCUCAUCCUUGAACUACAGGAGCGGUCUUGCAUACUUACACAACACACAUAUGAAAAUAAGGCCUUUUCUCGAUAGUUGAUAGAGGUUCCUAUCUGAUCUUUUUCAGAGGCCUUCUGCUUAAAGAAAGGGGGGCAUAGAGAGAAGGCUAUAGAGAGGCUAAGAGAAGAGCUACUAUCCGGAGAGCGAGGAAAGAAAGCUAGCAGCUAUCAUAGAAGAGAGGUCUUAUCCUUACUUCAAUCAAUCAGUCUUGGAAGUGUGAAUCGAUUCAAGUCAGAUUACGUCCUAUGGUAUGGUAGGCUAAGAAUUUCAUAAUCAAUGAGGGGAUAAUUAACAAGUCUUCUACUAUAGGCUAACUCAUUCCUGGAAUUUCCUAGACUCAAAAGAAGGGAGGAGUGAUAACCCUGAUCGGAAUCUACGCAAAGAUUCAGAUAAGGAAUAGCCUAGCAUUGUUUAGGUAACUAGGAAAAGAAAGAGGAUUCACAUAUUGCCUACUUUCUUACUGUACUUCUUUCUGUCUUUCCUUCCUUCCGUUCAGGGGCACUCUAAAGGCUUUGUAUCCUUCAGAGCUGGUUGACAGCGGUCUAGUCAGUCCCUCUCGCUCUUUGAUAGACAUCUUUCGGUUCUCGGUCUCAUCCGACGAACUACCUACUUUAGGUCCUUAUUCUGUGUCCUAUCCUUCCUUGCGGAUUCCCGGUUUCUGAAGGAGUAGCGGUCUCUGUCUCCGGCUCUGGGAGAACUUUACCUAUAGCUAACCUAGAGAGCUUUAAUUUAAGAUAGCUCGGGCGGGCACUCUUAUUCGGAAAGAGGAGUUGCUUGCCUUACCACACCAACCACCUUAGCGCUGGAAGUUCCAGCAAUGGGCAGCUAGGCAAAGGAAGAUUAGAUAGCAAAUUCAUAUUCAUUAGAUAAGAGAUUGUGGAUCUGUUCUUAGUGAGGACAAUCGGAUUGGUACGAUAAGGUCAGUUGAGGGCAGCAGCACACCAAUAAGUGGAUUGCCAUUCUUGUACUGUUUGGGUAAAGGGCAGGAGCACUCUUUCCCUCUCACCAGUACUUACUAUAAGGGGUGGGGCGGAACUGGUUCAAACCAAAUAUCCAACAGCCGCUUUCCUUAAUGGUUACCCGCUUUCGAGUGAACUGAACUCUUGGACUGGCUGAAAGGAAAACUGUACAAGGCAUUUUACACUCGUUUACGGGACCUGUGUCAAAGGAAAGGAUUGUUGCACUUUCUUUCUUGAAUGAAUCGACAUUUGUGGAUGGUUGUUCAUUCGGGAUUCUUUUUUCUAUAUUUAGAACUACUGGAUCAACUGAUAAAAGCCUGUCAAAGGACGAUCUUAGCUAAUACAAUCGCUCGUUUACACGAGCUUGUUAUAGAUGACAUUAGCGUACAGGAAAGUAGCAAACGACUACUUAUCCAUCAUCUUUUAUGAGUGAAACAACGAGCUCUAUGACUAUUUUUCUUUUAGCCGAAGGCCUUUUGACUGUUAUAGUCUCUCUCUUGGACUCUUCUCACGAAUUGGAUUUGAACCAAUCAAGCUACUUGCCCUUUAGUAGAUCGUGAGUGGGUCUGUCGUCCUCCUCAUUAUAGUCCUCCUAGAAUCAAUAGCAUUUCAUUGGAAUACAUCCUGUCUUUUCACCUUAGUCGUCCUAUGCAUAGUUAGUAUUAUAGCCCCAAUCAUGGCUACUAAUAAAAUAAGACUAGGAACCAAAAACCAGACGGAAUAGUAGGUAUAAAGUAAAUUGCCCAAUGUUUCCAAAUUAGUCUAACUUCGUACCUUUCCGGCAUAAACCAUAUAUCUCAGAGAGGUCGUAUUUCUUUGGGUUGGUAGUAAUGGAAUGCUUUCAUUAUCUAAAAUGAAGAACAUUUCCCACCAAAAAAUCAGUCCAAUAAUACCACUCAUUGGUAAAUAGCGCAAUACUUCCUCGUGAAUCUCCGCUAUUUGAAUAUGGAACAUCAUAACAACGAAUAGGAAUGAAACGGCUAUAGCUCCUAUAUAAACUACUGGGAAGAUCAUAGCGAAGAAGUCGAGACCUAACAAAAGAAGUAAACCUGAAGUGUUGCAAAAGACUGGGAUGGGAAACGAAACGGAAUGUAUCGGAUUUUUAGCACGUACAACCAUCAAACCAGAGACCAAAGCAAGGCUCGACAAAACAGAAAGUAUCAUAGUACGCUGUCCUUCCCUGAAAUAGAAAUUUCAUGCUGGAGCAUUCAAGUCGAUCUAUUACGACCAGUGCGGUUGUUCGUAUUUCAUUUUCUUCUUCCAAGCCCUUCUUAGAAAGCACUCACUGAGUUACUUACGAAAUCUCAAACCUCUCUCGACGCUGAGAAUUUUUUAUGUGUCUAGGUAGAUCAGAGGUUCGGCUUCCUUCUCCCCCACCUUUUAGCGCUCUGGGCCCCUGAAAAAAGAAAGCUGAAAGACCCUGAAGAAUCAUUCUCAAUUCUUCAUUCUGUUGGGCUUCGAUAGCCUUUCUUAUACUAGAAUUUUGAGUUUUGUACAGAUCAGUCCUGAAAUAGUUGACGAAGCCUCAAGGCUUGCUCCAUCUUUUUUUUAUGGAGGCGCUUACUUAUAGAGGUCAACUCGGCCACACGAGCCUUACGCCUCUCAAAUUCCAGUAGUUGCUUAUGGCUGGUUCUCUCUUCCUCUAAAUACUGGUUAAAGCUUUCUUGAUAGAGCUCUCUCUCCAUCACCUUCGAGUAGAAAGGAGCGUCCCCUUGCUCGGUCCAUAAAGUAGUAAAGACUCCGUCUAGCUCCUCAGGAUGGUAGCUUUGAAGAGUGAAAAGAAUACAACGUGUAAGAGAGCCGCCAGGCAUGUAUAAGAGCUUAUCUUCAUUUCUAUAGUAAAAAGUUAGAUAUAUACAGAUAAUAUUCUCUUCCAUCUUUGGAGACACGAUAAACGCAUCUGGAACGGGCAAAAUAUGCAUAGGUUGGAUGAGAGAGGAUAAAUCCUGAGCUAGGUUUAAAAAAGAUGAACCCACCCUAAAACCAUAAUAAAAGGCGAAAUAAAAAAUUAGCCAUCUUUUGGCAUUUAGAAAAAGGGGAUUUUUUCCCAUAAAUAAAUAAAAAAAGGGCUCAUUUUAAUUGCCAAGUCAAAAGAGAAGGAACUAUAAUAAGGAAACCGACAAGCAUUUUUUUGAAAAGCCCGGUUCUCUUUGUCUUCGAGCUUUUUUUUACGUCCUAGUUUCUUCAUCUUUAUAUGUUUUGGCCACGUCCGUUUCCGCUCCGAAGAAGAAGGUUUGGAUCUUUCAAUCUUAUGUCGUGAGGGAUGUGCCCUAUGCUAGGUCCAUAAGAUACCACAGCUUUUAGUGUUCUAUGAUUCACCUCCGAAUAAUGAGUAGGUAGUUCGACCCUUUUUCUUUGUCUCUUCAUAGUAAACGGAUGGGGGGAUGCGGAGCAAUAGGUCGAAUUACUAUAAAAAGAAGAGUUGUAAACUAUAGGACGGGUAGGAAUAUUUAGGUUUUUCUCGUUCCUUCUCUUCAAUAAGAAUAGGGAUUGAUCAAAAUUCCUCUUCAUUCUAUUGUGCUCAGCGAAAGAACUGCCUAAGCAUACUUUUUCGGAUCCAAACUUCUUUGUUCCUUCUAAGUCUUCUUCUUGCAUAGAAGAACGUAACUUUUGUAAAAACCGGUCUUUUAGUAGUAGGUGGCAUCCCCUCUUAUUUUUUAGUAGGCGGAACCAUUCUGUUUUGGUUCUUCUCCACAUUCUUACCGGGUGAUCCCAGAAUUUUCCUAUUCUUUUUUCAACAGAUAUUUCGAUAUAGAAGGAUCUCCUUAUUUCUUCACCGCGGGCUCUCGCAUCAUUUUCUUUAAAAGAUAUUAUAUCACCGUGGGAAACUUUAAAAUGAGUAAUGCUUACCAUUCCAUUAUUCACACAAACCCUUCGAUGACUUAUCGGCUGCCUUGCUUGAGGAAUAGUUUCACGAAAAUGGAGACGAACCAGAAUAACGUCCGAUCUUGUUUCUGGAUUGAGUGGAAAAGGGAUAUAUGAAGUUUGUUCUGUUCCUCUGUGCAUCUCUGUGAUGGGUAAAUCUCCAUGAAAAAGGGGAAACUUUCGUGUAGUUUAUGAUUAGAUGUAACUGUUAAGAUUUUCUCUCGAAUAAAGAUUUCUCUUAAUAGAUCUCUUUUUGUUCCUCAAUCUUCGGAGAAUGCGGCGUUGUAUUAUUGUAAGUUCUCUGUUCCAAACAUUUCCUGAAAGUAGACGACAAGUUUUAAAUCUUAACGCAGGCAAGUGCAUAUUUUGUUGAAUUAGUCUUUUUCGCCACAUCGGGGUUAUGGGAGUCGAACCCAAUUCUGUUGUCCGCCGAUAACCCCCGAACGAGCAAAGCUCUAAUAUGUUAUUGUUGACAAGGGCUUCCGCGACACCCCUUUGCUACUCGAUACGCAACUGCGCAUCCUGCACACCCUGAUUGAGUCUGAUUGAGCCCUGGAGUGGUAGAACCUGGUGAACCGGGCUACUCCUUCCUUCAGGUCCGAGGUUGAGGCAGGCUCAGGCUCUGACGCUAUAGGCAAAUUGAGAUCGAAACGCAUGGGCGGAAGAAGGAGAUCAGUACUCUUUUUCUCACCCCCAGACAGAUCAGUUGAUGGAUAGAGGUUCAUCUUACGUCAAAUAUGCCACUCCGGAGUCUCCUUGAACAGGAAUCAUUACCUUCGAUAACAUCAACUCAUAUUGCAACUCAUCUCUUUACCAGGAGCGCCGCCCACUCUAGCAAAAACUAUACGCAUCGAAUGAAGGUGACUGGCCCGAUCCGAAGAGAAAGUCAUCACUUCUUUGUGCUAGUCUUUCGAAUUUCGUAGCUCUUUCUUUUUCGGGGCCUAUCCCGGAUGAGAAAGAUACAAAGCCUGUUGACUCUGAUGCUUGCUUGAUGGGAGAAAUGGGUUGGGAUCUCUGUCGCAUGCAAAUCUUUCUAUCGGGAAAGCCUCGCUUAUUCAAAGGGCGGAUUCUUUAUUACCCUUUUUGCUCAUAAGUAAGUAAGCAUUGGUAGGAGCGGCGGGAUGAUGAUGAGUAUAUAAAAAAAGAAAGACCAAAAAGAAGAAAUGGCAAGAUCCAUUUUAUAUCGAUGGAGGAAAUAACGAUGUGGAAAACAGGACAGGGAUUCUCUACAAUGACACUGUAGACCAAUUGAAAGGGAUGUAGCGCAGCUUGGUAGCGCCUUUGUUUUGGGUAAAAAAUGUCACGGGUUCCAAUCCAAUCCUGUCAUCCCUACCUAUUCUUCUCCUCUGGGCAGUAACGAGGGAUCCAUUGGGAUCGAUUCAAAUUGGACAUACAGAAUCUUUUUCAUUUUAUGAGACUAUAUGCAUGCAAGAUGUAUUGGGGGUACAAAAAGAAUCCUUUUCUUUACAGUCGUAUCUACUGUGAUAAGAAAGCGCUCUUAGUUCAGUUCGGUAGAGCGUGGGUCUCCAAAACCCAAUGUCGUAGGUUCAAAUCCUACAGAGCGCGAUUCCGUUCUUGUUAGGUCUAAUUACAAUGAAAGAACUUCACUAACUUGAACAGCAACCUCAAUUUUACCUCCUGCGGAUUCAAGAAAGGAGGAAGUAAAUCAAAAAGAUAUGUUAAUUAAUCAAAGGUCCAACUGAUCGCCGCGUCUGUAUUGUAAAUAUGCAGUUACGAAGAAUCCAGCCAAAAUGUAAUAUGUGUUUAUGUAGCUAUUGGUCAAAAAGCAUCUUCUGUGGCUCAGGUAGUGACUACUUUCCAGGAAAGGGGGGCGAUCUCCGAAUCUCUAAGCAAGAAGGAUUGAAAGUUUGAAAGACCUUAAGAUUGCAUAGUCGACUAUGAGAACUCUCUUCUCUCUCUGUCUUUCCUUCUGUCAAACGUCUUGCGCUGUACCCUUAAGCCAGCUUUUGCGUCAAGGGGGUAGCGACUGUUUAAAUAACCCGUUCUAUCUAUCAUAUACUGGUGUCCGCUUUUCACGAGAAUCAAGUUUACCAGUUGAAAAAACGACCUUCUUUUUAAGCCUUCAUUCAUUUUUUGGUUACUUGUCCUCGAGGUACGAUGUUUGUGAAGGCGGUAGAUGCUACAUUAGAAGUGAAGGAUGCAAUUAAAUUCUUCUGACUGGCGCAGAUGAUUGUCUUCUUUAAGGUAGGAGAGGCGUAGUGCAGGUUCUCGUUUAUAACGUUGCUAACUGUUUUUGUAUGUUGCAGCAUACAAGAAAUGAGAGCACCGGUCGGUAAGCGAACUGAAAGAUUGGAAGAAUUUCAUUUUCUCGUCCACAAAUAGGAGUUAACCUAGUGAAGCCUAGAAGGAUUCUCUUGAGUCAUUGUAUAUUAAUACAGAAAUAAGUAGUUCAAAUAGAUGCUCCAGCGAAGACUCUAGAUGUGGACAUAGCUCAUGGCGAAAGGCCUUGAAUCACCCCUUUCCAUUCCAUUGGGUCUAGCAGGCAAGAGGGGAGGAUGCUAUCCUAUUAUGCUAUGCCCCAGUUGCAGCGGUGCCGAGAUGCCGGGGAUAAAGUACUAGUUCUCUUAGUCAAUCUUUUGCCUACAUCUCUAGCCGCACAAGGCCAAUAUGUGAAUACUUGGAGAGUGCAGUACAAGGUAGGCGAUCUUUGCUGCUUUUCUUUGUUUAUAAGCUCGCUCGUAAGGCGAGGAUAAGCAGUUCUAUCGGAGUCUCGAUUCGCGUCAAUAUGUACAUACUGGCUGGGCUAAAUAUGCAAGCAUUUGAGGACUAAAACCUCCAUUUAGGGACCGAGGGCUGUGAAGCAUUCUGGGAAUGAGGUAAGGACCUCUUCUCUCUGACGUAGCCAAAGUGAGAACCAUUCGACCGAGGUCGAGAUCUAAGCCGGUCCAUAGCACAGGUGCUGCAGUGAAAGAUUCCGCCGUAGCUAGAUGCCUUGAAGAAAGAGCAAAAAGACUCAGUCCAUGGCUCCAGUCAAAAUGGCCCUUCCCUCCCUGAAAGCCCUGAUCGUAGACCGCCCUUUUCCAUUCUUUUUCCAAUGAGGAGUCCGACCGAUGAACCUUGGGAGCAUCCCGGGCAAGAUCUAUGGCUUCAGCUGCGGCUAAGUGAACUACCUAUUUAUAUAUUCUAUAGAAGUUAAUAUGAGAGAAAAAGCUCUUCUUUCACAUAGUGGGAGGCUGGCCUUCUCUCUUCCCAAUUCUCCCAAUGAGACCUCUUUCACUCGGACGACCCAGAGGACUUUAAUAAAGCCCCCUUUUGCCUCAUCACGAUCUCCCAGUGAAGUAGCGGCUCCCUCCUAUUACUAUUUCUGGGGUGGAGUCGAAGCUAUGGCCCCAGAAAGUCAAAGAGAUUCCUUCCUGAACCACUCGUGUAGUCUUCUUCCUGCCUCCCAGUUAGGCCCUAUCUCGCUUUCCAAGUCUCAUUUGGAUGAGGCGCCGGCGCUACUAAAUGCAACUCCCAUUUCAACAUUCUUCUCUAUUGGCCCUUCCUUCUCCAUCUGCCUAGAGAACCUCUCUUUCCCUACAAGGCACUAGAA